rfam:Loxodonta africana unplaced genomic scaffold scaffold_65, whole genome shotgun sequence.
CUGGUGUCAGUGCUGGGGACCGCCCCCCGGGGCGGGCCUCCACUCUGGCCCCUCCUGGGGCCCGCACUCUCCUUGCGGGCCAG